UACGUAGGGGGCGAGCGUUGUCCGGAAUCAUUGGGCGUAAAGAGCGUGUAGGCGGCCAGACAGGUCCGUUGUGAAAACUCGAGGCUCAACCUCGAGACGCCGAUGGAAACCGUCUGGCUAGAGUCCGGAAGAGGAGAGUGGAAUUCCUGGUGUAGCGGUGAAAUGCGCAGAUAUCAGGAAGAACACCCGUGGCUAAGGCGGCUCUCUAGUACGGUACUGACGCUGAGACGCGAAAGCGUGGGGAGCGAACAGG
rnacentral:rRNA from 1 species